rnacentral:sRNA from 1 species
GGAGAAGAGUUUGGAGGCAGAGCCCCUGCCUUGAUGAGGUUUCUUCUGGUGGGAGCUGAGUAAAUGAAAAUAUAGUGAGAUGUGAGGUCCUACCAAGUGUUGUGGAGAAAAAUCCAGCAGCUGAGGGGACAGAAGGAUGCUACUUAGGAGAUCUGAGAGGGCCUCUGUGAGGAGGUGCCACCUGAGCCUAGUUGAUUGUGAUCUCUGCCUUGUCAUCGCUUCCCUGUGUGAUCCUGAGCAAGUGGAUGUGCCUCGGGGCUUAGGGGCGGGGUGGGGUGCGGGACAGCACCCUGACUCCCUGUGGGCUGGGGGGCAGGGCCGCCGAGCUGGCCUGGGCAGUGCUGGAGACAUGACGUUGUCCAUGACGGGCCGGGAGCGGUCGGAGUACCUGCGCUGGAAGCAGGAGAGGGAGAAGAUCGACCAGGAGCGGCUGCAGAGGCACCGCAAGCCCACUGGCCAGUGGCGGCGCGAGUGGGAUGCCGAGAAGACCGAUGGGAUGUUCAAGGAUGGCCCAGUCCCUGCCCAUGAACCAUCCCACCGCUAUGAUGACCAGGCCUGGGCCCGGCCCCCGAAGCCCCCU